CUACGGGUGGCUGCAGUGAGGAAUAUUGGUCAAUGGUCGCAAGACUGAACCAGCCAUGCCGCGUGCAGGAAGACGGUCCUAUGGAUUGUAAACUGCUUUUAUACAGGAAGAAACCCUCCCACGUGUGGGAGCUUGACGGUACUGUAGGAAUAAGGAUCGGCUAACUCCGUGCCAGCAGCCGCGGUAAUACGGAGGAUCCAAGCGUUAUCCGGAAUCAUUGGGUUUAAAGGGUCCGUAGGCGGCCUUAUAAGUCAGUGGUGAAAGCCCAUCGCUCAACGAUGGAACUGCCAUUGAUACUGUAAGGCUUGAAUUUUUGUGAAGUAACUAGAAUAUGUAGUGUAGCGGUGAAAUGCUUAGAUAUUACAUGGAAUACCAAUUGCGAAGGCAGGUUACUAACAAACGAUUGACGCUGAUGGACGAAAGCGUGGGGAGCGAACAGGAUUAGAUACCCUCGUAGUC
rnacentral:rRNA from 1 species